AGGGCGUACGGCGGAUGCCUUGGCGAUAUCAGCCGAAGAAGGACGCGGUAAGCUGCGAUAAGCUACGGAGAGGUGCAAGCAACCUUUGACCCGUAGAUUUCCGAAUGGGGGAACCCGGCAGUGGUUAUGCACUGUCACCCAUACCUUUGAGUAUGAGGAGGGCACCUGGGGAACUGAAACAUCUAAUUACCCAGAGGAAGAGUAAUCAAACGAGAUUUUCUUAGUAGCGGCGAGCGAACGGGAAAGAGGCCAAACCGGAGCGGGCAACCGCACCGGGGUUGAGGACAGUCAUCAAGUGUAAAUGAGGUAGAAGAAUCGAGUUGGAAAGCUCAGCCGCAGAAGGUGAAAGCCCUGUAAUCGAAACCUUGCAUACAUGGGACUGUAUCCAGAGUACCACGAGACACGUGAAACCUUGUGGGAAGCAGGGGGGACCACCCUCCAAGCCAAAAUACUGAUAUCGACCGAUAGCGCAUAGUACCGUGAGGGAAAGGUGAAAAGAACCCCUGGCGGGGAGUGAAAGAGAACCUGAAACCGUAUGUCUACAAACAGUCGAAGUCUGUAUAUAUAUCAGGACGACGGCGUGCCUAUUGAAGAAUGAACCGACGAGUUACUGUUGCUAGCGAGGUUAAGUGGAAAACAUGGAGCCGCAGCGAAAGCGAGUCUGAACAGGGCGUUCAGUUAGUGAUAGUAGACCCGAAACCGUAGUGAUCUAUCCAUGGCCAGGUUGAAGCACAGGUAAAAUUGUGUGGAGGACCGAACUCGUGAGCGUUGAAAAGCUUUGGGAUGAGUUGUGGAUAGGGGUGAAAUGCCAAUCGAACACGGAGAUAGCUGGUUCUCCCCGAAAUAGCUUUAGGGCUAGCCUCGAGGUUGAGAGUAUAGGCGGUAGAGCACUGAUCGGGCUAGGGGCCAUACCGGUUACCGAACCUAGUCAAACUACGAAUGGCUAUACUUAUACUCGGGAGUCAGACAGUGAAUGAUAAGGUCCAUUGUCAAGAGGGAAACAGCCCAGAACACCGACUAAGGUCCCCAAUGUCAUACUAAGUGGCGAAGGAUGUGGAAUUUCCAAAACAACCAGGAUGUUGGCUCAGAAGCAGCCACCAUUUAAAGAGUGCGUAAUAGCUCACUGGUCGAGAGACGCUGCGCCGAAAAUGUCCGGGGCUAAAGUAUGAAACCGAAGUCGUGUCAUAUGCAGCAAUGUAUAUGGGUAGGGGAGCGUUCUCAUCGGAUUGAAGCAGUACCGUAAGGAGUUGUGGACUGGUGAGAAGUGAGAAUGUCGGUAUGAGUAGCGAAAAGAAUGGUGAGAAUCCAUUCCACCGAAAGCCUAAGGGUUCCUGAGCAACGAUCGUCGACUCAGGGUAAGUCGGGACCUAAGCCGAGGCGGAAAAGCGUAGGCGAUGGACAACAGGUUGAAAUUCCUGUACCGGUGUGAAUCGUUUGAUCGAAGGAGUGACACAGUAAGGUAGGUCAGCACGCGAUUGGAAGUGCGUGUUUAAGCAUGUAGGUUGAGUUAUAGGUAAAUCCGUAACUCUAAAAGCUGAGAUGUGAUGACGAGCUGUUUACAGCGAAGUGAUUGAUCCUACACUGUCGAGAAAAGCUUCUAGGGAGACACGAUCCGCCCGUACCAAAACCGACACAGGUAGGCGGGGAGAGAAUCCUAAGGUGCGCGGGAAAACCCUCGUUAAGGAACUCGGCAAAAUGCCUCCGUAACUUCGGGAAAAGGAGGACUCAUGUAGUGUGAAGGGCAGUAACGCGUGGAGCAUGAAUGAGUGGCACAAGAGAGGCCCAAGCGACUGUUUACCACAAACACAGGUGCCUGCUAAAGCGAAAGCUGAUGUAUAGGUGCUGACACCUGCCCGGUGCUGGAAGGUUAAGAGGAGGGGUUAGACUUCGGUCGAAGCUCUGAAUUGAAGCCCCAGUAAACGGCGGCCGUAACUAUAACGGUCCUAAGGUAGCGAAAUUCCUUGUCGGGUAAGUUCCGACCCGCACGAAAGGUGUAACGAUUUGGGCACUGUCUCAACGAGGGACCCGGUGAAAUUGAAGUACCUGUGAAGAUGCAGGUUACCCGCGACUGGACAGAAAGACCCCAUGGAGCUUUACUGCAACCUAAGAUUGAACUUAGUUAAUGAAUGUACAGGAUAGGUGGGAGACUUAGAAUCUAGGGCGCCAGUCUUAGAGGAGUCGUUGUUGGGAUACCACCCUUUGAUUAAUUGAUUUCUAACA
rnacentral:rRNA from 1 species